rnacentral:rRNA from 1 species
CCUACGGGUGGCUGCAGUGGGGAAUAUUGGACAAUGGGGGCAACCCUGAUCCAGCAAUGCCGCGUGGGUGAAGAAGGUCUUCGGAUUGUAAAGCCCUUUCGGCGGGGACGAUGAUGACGGUACCCGCAGAAGAAGCCCCGGCUAACUUCGUGCCAGCAGCCGCGGUAAUACGAAGGGGGCUAGCGUUGCUCGGAAUUACUGGGCGUAAAGGGCGCGUAGGCGGUUUUGUCAGUCGGGCGUGAAAUUCCUGGGCUUAACCUGGGGGCUGCGUUCGA